rfam:Astyanax mexicanus Tnplaced_Scaffold3155, whole genome shotgun sequence.
AGACAGGUUCUAUUCAGAACUACUGAAAGACUGAAAAGUUUUUUCU